GGUGAGAUGACCGAGUUGUAGGUGUUAAAUUGUAAAUUUAAGUACGAAGUAUUUCUUCUCUCAUCA
rnacentral:tRNA from 1 species